rnacentral:rRNA from 1 species
GCUAAGAAUAAAACUCAAAGUGUAACCUGCCCAGUGGUUUUAAUAGAAUAUUAAUUUAAUUUCUUAAAAAUUAAACGGACGCAGUAUACUGACUGUGAUAAUGUAGCAUAAUCACUCGCCAUUUAAUUGGUGGAUAGUAUGAAGGGUUGAACGAAUAUUUAACUGUCUUAAAAUGAAAACUUAUAAAAUUUGAAUAAUAGUUAAGAUACUAUUUAAAAUUGUUAGACGAAAAGACCCUAUAGAGCUUAACUAAACUCCUUUUACACUAAAUAGAUUAAAAAUCUUUUCUUAAAAGGAGAGUUAGUUUAGUUGGGGCGACUACCUCCUAUUACGAACGUAGGUAAACAAUAUUAAUAACCUGAUUUAUUGUAUAAUAUAUAAAUUUAACAAUUAUAAAUGUAGGUUAUAAUGACCCGUUAUUAAAAUAAAACAUUUAAUAACGAUUAAUAAAUAAAAGCUACCUUAGGGAUAACAGAAUAAUUUUAACUGCGAGUUCUUAUUUAAGUUAAAGCUUAUCACCUCGAUGUUGAAUUAAGAUAACCUAAUAACGCAGAAAUUAUUAAAGGUGGGUCUGUUCGACCCUUAAAAUCUU